CGAGGACCGGGAUGACUGCGAAGCCGGGGACAACUGCCUGGCGGGUCCGCAGCCCACGCGUUCCCAGGCUCGCAGAAAGAUGACCUUACACCUGUGCUAUCCACCUGACCCUCAGCAGGUGCAUCGUUU
rnacentral:lncRNA from 1 species